rnacentral:rRNA from 1 species
AGUGAACGCUGGCGGUAGGCCUAACACAUGCAAGUCGAGCGGCAGCACAGUAAGAGCUUGCUCUUACGGGUGGCGAGUGGCGGGCGGGUGAGGAGUACAUCGGAAUCUACUUUUUCGUGGGGGAUAACGUAGGGAAACUUACGCUAAUACCGCAUACGACCUACGGGUGGAAUCAGGGGAUCUUCGGACAUUGCGCGAGUGAAUGAGGCGAGGUCGGAUUAGCUAGUUGGCGGGGUAAAGGCCCACCAAGGCGACGAUCCGUAGCUGGUCUGAGAGGAUGAUCAGCCACACUGGAACUGAGACACGGUCCAGACUCCUACGGGAGGCAGCAGUGGGGAAUAUUGGACAAUGGGCGCAAGCCUGAUCCAGCCAUACCGCGUGGGUGAAGAAGGCCUUCGGGUUGUAAAGCCCUUUUGUUGGGAAAGAAAAGCAGCAGGUUAAUACCCCGCUGUUCUGACGUUACCCAAAGAAUAAGCACCGGCUAACUUCGUG